GGCAUAGCUCAGUGGUAGAACAUCUGCUUUGCAUGCAGAAGGUCUCAGGUUCACUCUCUAGCAUCUCCA